ensembl:ncRNA F28C1.14 ncRNA
CGCCAAAAACAGCCUGCGGCGACUAGCGUUGAAGGCGGGUGGAGCUUCGAUGGGAGGGGAGCUCUGCAAAAGAACUAGAACGAGCGAGAGGAGCCGGGCAGCAGCCGAGGGAGACCACGCAAGGACCCAUUGAUUUUCGGGGACACUCCGAGCUCCCCCAGCCAACAUCAGAGCCCAGAGGAGAGCACACUAUUCUCUCUGGACUCUCUUUUCAUAUCU